CAGCCGCCGCGGUAAUACCGGCGGCCCGAGUGGCGGCCACUAUUAUUGGGCCUAAAGCGUCCGUAGCCGGGUUGGGAAGUCCUCCGGGAAAUCUGGCCGCUUAAAGGUCAGAAUGCCGGAGGAUACUCCCAGCCUAGGGAGCGGGAGAGGCCGAGGGUAUUCCCGGAGUAGGGGUGAAAUCCUAUAAUCCCGGGAGGACCACCUGUGGCGAAGGCGCUCGGCUGGAACGCGUCCGACGGUGAGGGACGAAGGCCAGGGGAGCAAACCGGAUUAGAUACCCGGGUAGUCCUGGCUGUAAACGAUGCGGACUUUGUGUCGGACAAGCUAUGAGCUUGUCCGGUGCCGGAGGGAAACCGUUAAGUCCGCCGCCUGGGGAGUACGGCCGCAAGGCUGAAACUUAAAGGAAUUGGCGGG
rnacentral:rRNA from 1 species